AUAACAAUGAUUCCCUCAGUAACGGCGAGCGAAGAGGGAUAAGCUCAAAUUUUAAAUCUGUUGGGUUUCACUUAACAGAGUUGUAUUUUGAAGAAACGUUUUCUGCGUCCAGGAUUAGCCUAAAUCCUUUGGGAUAAGGUAUCAUGGAGGGUGAGAAUCCCGUUCAUGGUUAGUCUUAAGGAAGCUCUACGAUACGUUUUCCAAGAGUCGAGUUGUUUGGGAUUGCAGCUCAAAAUGGGAGGUAAAUUUCUCCUAAGGCUAAAUAUUGGCGAGAGACCGAUAGCGAACAAGUACCGUGAGGGAAAGAUGAAAAGAACUUUGAAAAGAGAGUUAAACAGUACGUGAAAUUGUUGAAAGGGAAACGAUUGAAGUCAGUCAUACCAACGGGAAAUCAACCUUUUGAGCUCGGUCUCGUGGGUUUUGAAGAGUUUCAAAGCCUUCGGAUUCGCGGGAUUGGGAUCUUUUGGCGUACUUUUUCGUACGGUUAGUCAACAUCGGUUUUGAAUGUCAUAAAAUGACUGGAGGAAUGUAGCUUCGAUCUCGUAUUGAAGUGUUAUAGCCUUUGGUAGAUGUGAUGUUUGAGACCGAGGAUUGCAACGGAUACCCUUCAGGGCUAUUCGUCUGAUCUCUGAUACGUUGCCUUGAUGUUGAAAGCUUGCUUAUGAUGUUAGGGUAUUACGGUCAAAAGGUUAGAACGAAUUACAUUCGUUAAGGAUGU
rnacentral:rRNA from 1 species